AUGUAAAACCCUGGCGUUCUGUUUUGUUCAUCACGCUACAUGCACUUGGAUUCUAUUUGUGGGUUUGUGUGGUUUCAAUAAUCAUCAUUCACCGGAAAAUGAGAUUUUGUAUUGUGUACGGUAAUUCUGAAGACGACGUAAAGCAUUUAUUUUGCUUUCCCCGUAGCGCAGACAGGUAAACAGAAAAUUUAUUAUCUUGUUGUGUCGCAAAUAUGGCAGGAAGCUAUGGGAAUGAAAUAUAGACCACUAUGUGGCCAUGUUAGAAUCUGCAAUGAGCAUUUCACAAAAGAUAGAUUUGUGCCGUGUACCUCAGUUUUACGUUUGAAAGCUGAUGCAGUGCCCACAAUUCUGGAAGUCCAGAAGGACCAUGUUAUGAAGGGACUGGACCAGAUAGCAAAUAAAAAAGUAAACAUUAUAUCCCAAUAUAUAAUAAAGCCAGAACCACAGGUACUGAAUUUUACAUAUUAUUCUAGAUGAUUUGCUUUUAUCUUGCUUUAUGUAAUAAAACAUAACUUAGGUGUUAAUUGAAAUUCAAUUUCUUAGACUCUUUUGUAUACCAAAUCAUUAAGUAAUGCAAACAGUGAAGUUACUGAACAUGAGAAAACAAAUUCCUCGCAGUCACCAUCCCAACGGGCUGUCACACUAAUUUCAAGUACAGUUAGAUGUAGAAGGACUCUUUUUAAGGACGUUGAAGGCUUGUGUUCAACACAGAUAACACCAAGAAAGCAAAAGUUGAUGGUUAUUGUGAAGAGGAAGCAGGGUCUCUUGCGAUAGAUGCAGUUACAUCUUGAGCUCAGAUGACACUGAGCCAUGUAAUCAAUUUAUUUCCAGUAAGGAAUUCUCAAAUUCUAAGAAUAAAUUGUUUUAUCCUUCUAAACAGUUUGUUAUUGCGGUUGGUAUUGGUAUUACAGUUUUAGAGAAUAAGCUACCAAUUAUUUGUGAAAAGAAUAACCUACAAGAUGUAGCAACAAAUUUACUUAACCAAGAAAUUGAUUUCUCAUUUAUUACUUGUGAGGAACAUUUUUAUUUUUUGAAAGAUUUUUUACUUAAAAGUAUAUGUAGAAUCGGAAUCCCAUGGUACUGUACAAGACUUGUCCGAAAUUUAAGAUCUGAAGACAGCCGGCAAAUAUCAGCAUGCACAAAAAGAAAAAUUUUGCAUAAAUAAUAACAAUACCAUUAAAUGUCUACUUCUUGGACAAUUCAUACACCUACAGUACCAUCAAAUUCUGAUUCAUUGGGUCCACAUUUACAAACAACUUUGUCCUCUUGCAUAAUGUUUUGUUUCAGUUUUCUUGGAAUCCCUAUGAUCUAAUGUUACUAGUUCUCAUUCAGUCUGUGUUUGUUAUGAAAAGAUGUGGCAUAGCAUUAUUAUUAUUGUGAAUCUUUGUUGUACUUAUGCAAAUACAAUUUGACAAAGCUCAA